UACGUAGGUGGCAAGCGUUAUCCGGAAUUAUUGGGCGUAAAGCGCGCGCAGGUGGUUUCUUAAGUCUGAUGUGAAAGCCCACGGCUCAACCGUGGAGGGUCAUUGGAAACUGGGAGACUUGAGUGCAGAAGAGGAAAGUGGAAUUCCAUGUGUAGCGGUGAAAUGCGUAGAGAUGUGGAGGAACACCAGUGGCGAAGGCGACUCUUUGGUCUGUAACUGACGCUGAGGCGCGAAAGCGUGGGGAGCAAACAGG
rnacentral:rRNA from 1 species